GAGAGAGAGAGAGGGGGGGGAAAGAGAGUCGCAUCGAACGGUCCCCCCGGGGAAUCGGCUCUAGAUUUUCACGAAGAGUGCCAAGACGACGACUCGAGCCCUCUUAACGAAGCUGGAAGCUAAGGACGGUGCGCACACACUCGAGGUGCACGUACGCAGAAGAAAACGAGAGGCUGUCUACGAGGCCGGAAGGGCGACGGGAACGGGAAGAGAGACAGAGAGAAGAAGGUGGGAUGCAAAAGGAGCCCUGUGCGAACGGCGAGAAAGGGACGAAGGAGCGAGAUGAGAGAGAGAGAGAGAGAAAGAGGGAGAGGGAGAAGAAGAAGAAGAAGGCAGGAGGAAGGCAGAAAAGAUGGGAGAUCUGAACUUGGACGAAGAGAAGCGCGGGGAGCGUGUACAGUGAGACCGGUCGACGAUUGUCAAUACGGCCUGCACGGGAAUACGACUUACUAGAACAAUCAUAGAACCAAGCAGCAGAACCAGUUGACUCCAGGAAAACGAACUAUUCGAUAAAAAUGCCGUUCUGCUCCUUAACGGCACGAAGAUCAGCGAUAGGGAGUUUUAAAUGAGACAGAGUUUGCUUUUCCAUGGAAAUGGGAUACAGCCUGCUUAAUCCGCGAUACGUUACUAUCUCGCUUUCUGUCGCAAGAUACAGGACUACUUUUUGCAACGAAAAACAGGAGAGAGGAAUGGAACAAGACGAAAUUCUAAUUAUAUCAUGUUUCGCUCGCAGAGCACUUUCUGGUUACUAAUGGGUAAUUUUCGAUAUUUUCAGCGAGAAAGUGCAACGUGAUAUCCAAUAAAACAUGCUCGGUCAAAUGAACGGAGUCGACCAAGAUGAAUGAGAGUCCUCGAAAAAAUCGCAGUCACGCCGCAAGAGUAAUUACGUACAUCAAGAGGGAUAGCCUCUUUUUACGAGUACGCAAGAGGAACAACAAAAGGUGUUCGUUGGACAUUGUAAUCGUUGAUUACACUCACUGUACAUGCCUUGAAUCGACUUCACGCAUAAAGGACAAAGCAAAACCCGCCGGCUACAUCACGUUAGAGACAAUGAUUAUUCUCUCAGAAACAACGCGGAGAAAAUUAAGAUUGUCCCCGCGUAGGAUCGCAAAUUGUCAACGUCGACGUCGAGUACUUUUCUCUCCCUGAAGCCGAGGGGUAAUUGUCCAAGAUAAUCGCAACUGGUCUGAUCUAAGGAAGAAUUACAUAUCGCGAGAAAUCAUUCGUGCGGAGGUGAUCAAUGACGCUCCCGGAGCGCGGCUAUUGUUCGUGACGGUCGCAAAGUGGAGCAAAGUCCAGGCAUAACGGAAUGGUCAUUUGCGAGAUGAACUCCGGGCGAGUCGCGGUGAGCCGUUAAAAGGGGGCUGCCUAUUAAUCUGCCGAGACAUCGCUUCCCCGUACGCAGAUUCCAAGUAGCUCCCGCUGUUGUUAUCGAAAUGCAGGACGCAAUCGACAACCAAUUGUUGCAAGAAGCAUUUCGUGGAGGAUCUUCAAAUUGGGAGAAAAGGGAGAAAGCAAGAGGAAAGCCAUCGCGAGAGGCAGGAGUGAAUUUUUCGGGACCUACGAGCGCAGAGUCUAACGAGAGGGAAGCGGUUGGCCGCUCCGCCAGGACGAAUUGUCAAUUACAUCGAACGCCGCAGUGACCCUCGGCAAAUCGCCAUUUAAUUGAAUAAUUACUCACCGAACGGGAUGAGCCGUGGUCGUUAGAAACCAAAGAGAGGUGGUCGUGAAAUCUCUCAGGAGCCCAUCAGCGACGCUCCUUUAAAGUGUCAAAGAUCGCAAGAUCCGCGGCCGAGGACCGCGGAGGAUCACAGAGUGAUCGUGAGAGAUUCUUCGCGAAGUGGAUUCGCGUAUCCGGACGAUGAUGAAGUGGACCCGACGUGGCGUGCAACCCCUUCGAAGGGAUCGCCGUGAGAUGGAGAGGAGGAGGCGGAGGUGGGGACGAAGGGGGCGAAGCAGAGCGCGCGAUCGGACCCGCCAAUUAAUCCUGCGUAUCCUUCGAGCCCGCCGCGCCUUCGUGCAACCGGACGCCAAUCUUGAGAAACGAUACCUCGGAUAGUCCUUGAUGUCCUUCGAGGGGAUCGAUUAUGCGUUCAACGCUGGACGAUGCAACAUGAGGAAACAAUUCCGGUGCUGGUCCGAGACGAAUCUCGUUGCCACUGCAGAAGCGUUUAGCACCAAAUGCAGCUGCCUCGUCCUGUCAUCCAGAUCGCCGAGGAUCGCACCCGUUCGAUGUUAAUGCGCGAUAAGGAGCUGGAGAACGGGGCGCGUUUAGCGCGGUAAAUGCGCGCGCUGUGAGCACGGGGCCUUUGUCUGUAAUCGGCGUUUUACGCGCGACGAUAAACAUCCACCAUUUAUAAUCCCCCGCUCGUUAGAGUCGACUCGCGAUGAAGAGAUACGGUUUAUCCAGCGGUGCACCCCGGCGCUUUGAUUUCUUCUUCCCUCUAAUUAUACCGUUACGCGCAAUCGUUCUCCUUAAUUAGCGGCGGCUCCUUCGAGAUCCCCGCCGAUCCGCCGCAUCCGUUAUCCGCCGCGAAUCUCGCAAUUUUCUCCCACCGGCUCUCACGAAUCGACGUCACACUCUCGAGGUUACAAUGUAAUAAUCGAAAAUUCAUUAAAUUACAUUAUAGGGAACGGUGCGCGCGCCGCUUUUGUAACACUCGUUUCUCGCGCGACGUACUUGUCGACAUCUUAGCGCUCCGUCAAGUUGCGUCUACUUUUUUACAGAAAAACGUCGCUAACGCAUGUCGCCGUAGCCCGCAGUCGCGAUAUAAAUUUGUCGAGAUACGCAUUAAGUACGUUUAUCCGUGCGCAGUGAUACGGUAAUCGCCGUCGAUUAAUCUGUCCCUUUUACCGUCCCCCAAUCAAAGCGACACGCGCGAUCGAUCACCUUAAUUGCAGUAGAUUCUGUUCCCUUUUCUCGACCAGCGCUUAACGGGGUAACAUUAAUCGAAGGCUUUUAUCAUGGCUCGAUACGUCGCCUUCGAAAAAAAAAUGCCAGCCGCCGCAGUCCGAUCGUUAUCGCGUGUUUCUUAUGCAUUUUUCUCUCCGUGAGGAAGUCUUUCUCGAUUGCUCUUUUUGCCUAUUAUCGUGUGCUAGUUCUGCUCUUCAUCAAUCAAGGUAUUAUCAAUCAGGUAUACGGAGACACGUGACAUGGAACUCUCAUUCCGUAAGAUUAUCAAUAUUUAGCAACGCUGUUAUUAUCGCAUCAUCGCGCUUUAUAGACGUGAAAAUAAACACAAAAUGAAACUUGACCGUCGUCUAAAUGCAACGCUAGCGAAUACAGUGAAAGUAGUAUGUACAUUUUUUUAUUACAGAUAUACGUUCUCUUCGAUCUGUAUCAUUAAUAUACAUAAUUAAGGUAAACCAUUUACAAUCCAGCGGAUAUUUUCAAUUAAAUAUCUUGUACUGUUACAAAUUCUUCAUUUAUUAGAAAUCUUACGGAUCUGUAGGAAACACCUUCACUUAAUACUAAUGACAUAGAAUUUCGAUUUAACUUGGAAAAGAUGAAGAAUGUGUGUUACCGCAAAGAUGAUGUAAAGUGUAAUUAGACAUAAUUUAAUUACAUAUAAAAUUGA